UACAGAGGGUGCAAGCGUUAAUCGGAAUUACUGGGCGUAAAGCGCGCGUAGGCGGCUGUCUAAGUCGGAUGUGAAAUCCCCGGGCUUAACCUGGGAACUGCAUUCGAUACUGGGCAGCUAGAGUAUGAGAGAGGGAGGUAGAAUUCCACGUGUAGCGGUGAAAUGCGUAGAUAUCUGGAGGAAUACCGGUGGCGAAGGCGGCAUCCUGGACCGACAUUGACGCUGAGGAGCGAAAAGCUAGGGGAGCAAACGGG
rnacentral:rRNA from 1 species